rnacentral:misc_RNA from 1 species
UGGUGUUUUUACAGGCUAUUCUCUCCUUUCCACUGCACUUGCCUUGCCUGAUGAUGGCCAGGUAACAGCGAUAGACAUAGAUCAAGAAGCGUAUGAAGUUGGAUUACCAUUCAUUCGCCAGACAGGAGUAGAACACAAAAUCAACUUCAUCAAAUCAGAUGCUAAUUCAGUGUUGAGUGACAUGUUGAACAAUAAGGACAAGCAAAUAGCAGAAUUUGACUUGGCAUUUGUGGAUGCUGACAAAUUCAGCUACAAGCGAUACCAUGAACAAUUGCUGAAACUAGUUAAGGUUGGAGGCAUAAUAGCUUAUGAUAACACCUUAUGGUAUGGCUUUGUUGCUCAAAAAGAAGAUGCAUUGCCAGAGAAUCUAAGAGAUGUAACAAAGGCCAUUAAAGAACUCAACCAUUAUCUAGCUAGUGAUCCUCGGGUGGAUAUCUCACAGGUUUCCAUUGGUGAUGGUGUUACCUUAUGCAGGCGGCUCUAUUGAAAAAUAAUCUGUAUUAGUAUUAUUACAGUAUUGCUACCAUAUCAUGGACAAUUACCCAACAAUUUCCGUUUUCUUUCUUUUAUUUGAAUGCUAUAUUGCAAUGAUUAUUCUGUUGA